rnacentral:piRNA from 1 species
GUUGUUCUUGUUGUUUGCCUCUCUCUCUC